CCUGUUGAUGUGGUGGAAAAACAUGGGGGAGGUGAAGCAUUCUGCAACCUCCGCCUCCCAGGUUCAAGCAAUUCUUGUGCCUCAGCCUCCCUGAGUAGCUGGGAUUACAGGCGUCUGCCACCACGCCCAGCUAAUUUUUGUAUUUUUAGUAGAGACGGGGUUUCACCAUGUUGGCCAUGCUAGUCUCAAAUUCCUGACCUCAGGUGAUCCACCCGUCUCGGCCUCCCAAAGUGCUGGGAUUACAGGAGUGAGCCACUGCAUCCGGCUGGGCCUUUAAAAAUAGUUUUAAAAAAUGUUUCUUGUGUGUUUUUCAAUGCUUUUAGUUACUUACAGAUUGCUACCUGAGGUGAUUUGAGGGAAGGGUAUGUUUAGUGAAUUAGUCUUAAUCAAAAUCACUAGCUAAUUAAAAGAGAAAUGUUCUCACAAGAAAAAUAAUUAUGAUGGAAAGCAGCAAUUAGCUUUGGGAACUACCUGCUUUUCAGUUCAUCCUCUUUUCAGAGAAAUGAGACCCUAAGCAGGGAGGAGCCUACUGGCCAUCUGAGAAACCCUCUAGAGUAACAGAGAAAUGUCAUGGGCCUCAGGGAAGAAAAGA
rnacentral:lncRNA from 1 species